GAUGAACGCUGGCGGCGUGCCUAAUACAUGCAAGUCGAGCGAACAGACGAGGAGCUUGCUCCUCUGACGUUAGCGGCGGACGGGUGAGUAACACGUGGAUAACCUACCUAUAAGACUGGUAUAACUUCGGGAAACCGGAGCUAAUACCGGAUAAUAUAUUGAACCGCAUGGUUCAAUAGUGAAAGACGGUUUUGCUGUCACUUAUAGAUGGAUCCGCGCCGCAUUAGCUAGUUGGUAAGGUAACGGCUUACCAAGGCAACGAUGCGUAGCCGACCGGAGAGGGGGAUCGGCCACACUGGAACUGAGACACGGUCCAGACUCCUACGGGAGGCAGCAGUAGGGAAUCUUCCGCAAUGGGCGAAAGCCUGACGGAGCAACGCCGCGUGAGUGAUGAAGGUCUUCGGAUCGUAAAACUCUGUUAUUAGGGAAGAACAAAUGUGUAAGUAACUAUGCACGUCUUGACGGUAACUAAUCAGAAAGCCACGGCUGACUACGUG
rnacentral:rRNA from 1 species